rnacentral:rRNA from 1 species
GACGAACGCUGGCGGCGUGCUUAACACAUGCAAGUCGAACGGAAAGGCCCUGCUUUUGUGGGGUGCUCGAGUGGCGAACGGGUGAGUAACACGUGAGUAACCUGCCCUUGACUUUGGGAUAACUUCAGGAAACUGGGGCUAAUACCGGAUAGGAGCUCCUGCUGCAUGGUGGGGGUUGGAAAGUUUCGGCGGUUGGGGAUGGACUCGCGGCUUAUCAGCUUGUUGGUGGGGUAGUGGCUUACCAAGGCUUUGACGGGUAGCCGGCCUGAGAGGGUGACCGGGCACAUUGGGACUGAGAUAGGGCCCAGACGGCUACGGGAGGCAGCAGUGGGGAAUAUGGCACAAUGGGCGGAAGCGUGAUGCAGAAACGCCGCGUGCGGGAUGACGGCCUUCGGGUUGUAAACCGCUUUCGCCUGUGACGAAGCGUGAGUGACGGUAAUGGGUAAAGAAGCACCGGCUAACUACGUG